GUAGCUCAGGUGUUCAAGGCGAGGGUCAUUAAGGAGGGCCCUUGGGAGGAAGGAGGGGAUGCGGGCAAUGUGUGGAUGAAGAUGGCGACUUGCAUUCGUAAGGUGGCCUCGGAGGAGUUUGGAGUGUCCAGGGGAAGGAGAAGCGAAGAUAAGGAUACCUGGUGGUGGAAUGAUGAUGUCCAGAAGGCGAUUAAAGAGAAGAAAGAUUGCUUCAGACGCCUAUACCUGGAUAGGAGUGCAGACAACAUAGAGAAGUACAAGAUGGCGAAGAAGGCCGCAAAGCAAGCUGUUGGUGAAGCAAGGGGUCGGGCAUAUGAGGACCUCUACCAACGGUUAGGCACGAAGGAAGGUGAAAGGGACAUCUAUAAGAUGGCCAAGAUCCGAGAGAGGAAGAGGAGGGAUAUUGGCCAAGUCAAAUGCAUCAAGGACGGACCAGGCCAACUCUUGGUGAAGGACGAGGAGAUUAAGCAUAGAUGGCGGGAGUACUUCGACAAGCUGUUCAAUGGGGAGAAUGAGAGUUCUACCAUUGAAAUGGAUGACUCCUUUGAUGAGACCAGCAUGCGUUUUGUGCGGCGAAUCCAGGAGUCUGAGGUGAAGGAGGCUUUAAAAAGGAUGAAAGAAGGCAAGGCGAUGGGCCCUGAUUGUAUCCCCAUUGAGGUGUGGAAAGGUCUCGGGGACAUAGCGAUAGUAUGGCUAACCAAGCUUUUCAACCUCAUUUUU
rnacentral:rRNA from 1 species